GGGCUUAUAAGCAAUGACAUCUAUUAUAUUUGGAACCAUGGCCCCAAGUUUGGUGGGGGAUUUGAUUAUCGGUACUUCCCUCUAAUCACUAGAGGGGGAGGUGCAACACGCUUUAGGGAGCACCUUGGAGGUAUACCAGGUGAUGUGAGGGAGUGUCCUAAUGUUCCAAGAAAUAUCCGUGCUGCAAUGAGGGAAUCCCGGGAUGACUCAAUGCGGAGGAAGAGGGAAAAGAAAAAUCGCAGAUUUCAUUUGGAAAGGGAUAUCAUGGAAGGGUUGUACGAUGGAGAAGGGGUGAUAAAUAUUGAAGAUGACGAGGAAGAGAUUCAGGCUGCACUUCGGGAGACACUAAGAGACAAGAAUGUCUCUCGCGCAGUUGAGAGGAGGUGUGGGAGUGGCAGUGGUGUUCGUGUGUCUCUUGGGAAACAGAGUAUCACAGCAUACUUUGACAAGGAAUUGUCAAGCAACAAAGUAUCAAUGCAGCCAAAGAUCAACACUGCUUUGAAUGUUGAGUCAAAAGAUGUACUUGGCCAAGCUUGGGCAAAGUUUUUUCAUGCUAAUGACAUUGCUGGUCUGAAAGCAAAUUGUCCCUAUUUUCGUGCGGCUGUCAAGAUAACUCAAAACCUUGGCCCGGCUCCUGUUCCAACUGCCAAGGAGAUUGAUGGGAUAUAUUUGGACAAGAAUUAUGAAGAAGCUGAGCAGUGGUUGAACAUGUUCAAGCAAGACUGGAGGAACUAUGGUGUAACUGUGGUGUGUGACUCAUGGACAGGGCCUACUGGUAUGAGUCUCAUCAAUUUCAUGGUGUAUUGCAAUGCACGGAUGUUCUUUCAUAAAUCCAUUGAUGCUUCUGGUCAAUCUCAGACUGCAGCACUUACAGAGAAUGUCGUGGGAGGUUUGGCUCAAGGUUGGCACGUUCCUUUGUAGAGAAAAUUUCACCAACUGAGUGGUGGUUCCAAUUUGGAGGGGAAGUUCCUAAUCUGCAGAAGUGUGCCUUGA
rnacentral:rRNA from 1 species